UUCAACGGCCGCGGUACUCUGACCGUGCGAAGGUAGCAUAAUCACUUGUUCUUUAAUUGAGGACUAGUAUCAACGGCAUCACGAAGAUUUUACUGUCUCCUUUUUCUAAUCAGUGAAACUGAUCUCCCCGUGAAGAAGCGGGGAUAACCCUAUAAGACGAGAAGACCCCAUGGAGCUUUAAACCCAAUGACAUCCCUAUCCUCUUACUUUGCCUCAAAAUUUACAAGACCUGUCCAUUGGUUUUAGGUUGGGGUGACCGCGGAGUACAACCAAUCCUCCACAACGCACGGACCUUCCUCCUUAUCUUAGAGCCACAUCUCAAAGAAUCAAUAAAUUGACGUAACAUGAUCCAAUAACUUUGAUUAAUGAACCAAGUUACC
rnacentral:rRNA from 1 species